CCUCCAAGCUUACUGACGUUGCAUCGGUUGCAUUUGACAAAUCAUAUUGUAAGGUGAAAACUGGUAUCCAGGAGGAGUUCCUCUAAGGAGAUUUUGCUCCUGUAGUUUUUGUCCAUAUGACGAUAUCCCACAAAAAGGUGCCAUCAACAAAUUGCCAUUUGCUUGGCUAAAAACACCAGCUGCCCCUCCCCCUUCACUUUGUGGUUUACAAUCUAUAAAUCCUUUGGGCAUGCCAGCCAUUUUUUGUUGUGGUUGUGAUUGUAGACUUGUGGUAGAAUGAUC
rnacentral:misc_RNA from 1 species